rnacentral:rRNA from 1 species
GAUGAACGCUGGCGGCGUGCCUAAUACAUGCAAGUCGAGCGAACGGACGAGAAGCUUGCUUCUCUGAUGUUAGCGGCGGACGGGUGAGUAACACGUGGAUAACCUACCUAUAAGACUGGGAUAACUUCGGGAAACCGUAGCUAAUACCGGAUAAUAUUUUGAACCGCAUGGUUCAAAAGUGAAAGACGGUCUUGCUGUCACUUAUUGAUGGAUCCGCGCUGCACUAGCUAGUUGGUAAGGUAACGGCAUACCAAGGCAACGAUGCAUAGCCGACCUGAGAGGGUGAUCGGCCACACUGGAACUGAGACACGGUCCAGACUCCUACGGGAGGCAGCAGUAGGGAAUCUUCCGCAAUGGGCGAAAGCCUGACGGAGCAACGCCGCGUGAGUGAUGAAGGUCUUCGGAUCGUAAAACUCUGUUAUUAGGGAAGAACAUAUGUGUAAGUAACUGUGCACAUCUUGACGGUACCUAAUCAGAAAGCCACGGCUAACUACGUG